rnacentral:rRNA from 1 species
UACGGGGGGAGCAAGCGUUGUUCGGAUUUACUGGGCGUAAAGGGCGCGUAGGCGGCCACCGCAAGUCGACUGUGAAAUCUCCGGGCUUAACCCGGAAAGGUCAGCCGAUACUGCGGGGCUAGAGUGCAGAAGGGGCAACUGGAAUUCUCGGUGUAGUGGUGAAAUGCGUAGAUAUCAAGAGGAACACCUGCGGCGAAGGCGACUUUCUGGCCUAUAACUGACGCUGAGGCGCGAAAGCGUGGGGAGCAAACAGG